UAACCAUGGUGUGGGCAGGCGAGAAGUAAGUCCUUGAACCAUUCCCUACAUUCAAAGAAGGUCUCAUUAUUUUUCUAGGAGAAGUUCAUUAUUUCUCGUUUAUGAGUGU